UGGGGAAUAUUGGACAAUGGGCGCAAGCCUGAUCCAGCCAUGCCGCGUGAGUGAUGAAGGCCUUAGGGUUGUAAAGCUCUUUCGCCGGUGAAGAUAAUGNCGGUAACCGGAGAAGAAGCCCCCGGCUAACUUCGUGCCAGCAGCCGCGGUAAUACGAAGGGGGCUAGCGUUGCUCGGAAUCACUGGGCGUAAAGCGCACGUAGGCGGAUCGUUAAGUCAGGGGUGAAAUCCUGGAGCUCAACUCCAGAACUGCCCUUGAUACUGGCGAUCUCGAGUUCGAGAGAGGUUGGUGGAACUCCGAGUGUAGAGGUGAAAUUCGUAGAUAUUCGGAAGAACACCAGUGGCGAAGGCGGCCAACUGGCUCGAUACUGACGCUGAGGUGCGAAAGCGUGGGGAGGCAAACAGGAUUAGAUACCCUGGUAGUCCACGCCGUAAACGAUGGAUGCUAGCCGUUGGGGGGUUUACCUCUCAGUGGCGCAGCUAACGCCUUAAGCAUCCCGCCUGGGGAGUACGGUCGCAAGAUUAAAACUUAAAUGAAUUGAC
rnacentral:rRNA from 1 species